GACGAACGCUGGCGGCGUGCCUAAUACAUGCAAGUUGAGCGCUGAAGGUUGGUACUUGUACCGACUGGAUGAGCAGCGAACGGGUGAGUAACGCGUGGGGAAUCUGCCUUUGAGCGGGGGACAACAUUUGGAAACGAAUGCUAAUACCGCAUAAAAACUUUAAACACAAGUUUUAAGUUUGAAAGAUGCAAUUGCAUCACUCAAAGAUGAUCCCGCGUUGUAUUAGCUAGUUGGUGAGGUAAAGGCUCACCAAGGCGAUGAUACAUAGCCGACCUGAGAGGGUGAUCGGCCACAUUGGGACUGAGACACGGCCCAAACUCCUACGGGAGGCAGCAGUAGGGAAUCUUCGGCAAUGGACGAAAGUAUGACCGAGCAACGCCGCGUGAGUGAAGAAGGUUUUCGGAUCGUAAAACUCUGUUGGUAGAGAAGAACGUUGGUGAGAGUGGAAAGCUCAUCAAGUGACGGUAACUACCCAGAAAGGGACGGCUAACUACGUG
rnacentral:rRNA from 1 species